UACGUAGGCAGCAAGCGUUGUUCGGAGUUACUGGGCGUAAAGGGUGUGUAGGCGGUUGCUUAAGUUUGGUGUGAAAUCUCCCGGCUCAACUGGGAGGGUGCGCCGAAUACUGAGUGACUCGAGUGCGGGAGAGGAAAGUGGAAUUCCUGGUGUAGCGGUGAAAUGCGUAGAUAUCAGGAGGAACACCGGUGGUGUAGACGGCUUUCUGGACCAUAACUGACGCUGAUGCACGAAAGCGUGGGUAGCAAACAGG
rnacentral:rRNA from 1 species